GGCAGAGGGAGCCCGGCCACCGCCUUGCCGGGGGUAGGAUCCCGGCGGCGAGGAAAGUCCCCCCACCGUCCGGGCAGGCGACCGGACGCAAGUCCGGAGCGGAAGACCGCUGGCGCUGGAACAGCAACGACACGUCCCGUCCCGAGCGAUGAGGCGCGUGAGGUGACACAGUCGCCUCGCGGCGCGACCGGGUGACCGGUCGCGUGCGACCCGACCCGCGAGGGAAGGAAGCUAACCCGCCGAGCGCGCGUGGGCUUCGCCCACGUUCGGGCGAACGGCCAGACGGCCGUGAGCCGACGGACGGGGACCGAUGGAACGGCGAAACCUCGCCGGUGCAAGCCCGUCGCGAUUGGUAGCCCGGACGCCGCGGCGGGCGCUCAGCCGAAUGUCGGGCCGAACAGAAGGGGGCUUACUCCCCUCAGCC
rnacentral:RNase_P_RNA from 1 species